AAAAAAAAAGUUUAUACAAAAUAGUAACAUGUGAGGUUGCAGGAGCCCUGCCCAAGAGUGCUUA
rnacentral:tRNA from 1 species